rnacentral:rRNA from 1 species
AGUGAACGCUGGCGGCGUGCUUAACACAUGCAAGUCGAACGAGAACGGAUUAUAGCUUGCUAUAAUUGUCAGCUAAGUGGCGCACGGGUGAGUAAUAUAUAGAUAACCCUGCCCUCUAGAAAGGAAUAACAGUUGGAAACGACUGCUAAUGCCCUAUAUGCCUUUAAUACAUAAGUAUGCAAGGGAAACGCUUUAGUGCUAGAGGAUGGGGUCUGUAAUGGUAUCAGCUUGUUGGUGAGGUAAUGGCUCACCAAGGCUAUGACGCCUAACUGGUUUGAGAGGAUGAUCAGUCACACUGGAACUGAGACACGGGUCCAGACUCCUACGGGAGGCAGCAGUGGGGAAUAUUGCACAAUGGACGAAAGUCUGAUGCAGC